GCUUUAGCCUUAGGUGGGGGAGUUUUCCAUUUCCCUUUCAGCUUAUAUUAAAUUACUUUCCUUUCUUGUCAUAGGCAUAAUCCUUUGAUGGGAAAACCUUGACGGCCUUUCAGAAGAGGAAGAAAGCCCUCCUCUGCAGAGUCACCAGGGACUGGCUAUUACUAAUUGAUUCUACAUGGAGAACACACAGUGGUGACAGCCAUCAGUCUGAAACAAUGCAGGCCUCUGUCCCUUGUGCCCUGGCCUAUAUGGAAGGAUGA
rnacentral:lncRNA from 1 species